rnacentral:sRNA from 1 species
CUUCAUCGAUCUGCUGAGGGCAGAUAAAGUGAAUAUGCGCAUCGAUACCACCCGCGGUAAGGAUAGAACCCUCCCCUGCGAUAAUUUCGGUUCCGGGACCGAUCACUAUAUCCACAUUAUCUUGUAUAUCCGGGUUCCCCGCUUUGCCUACUUUGGCAAUGCGCCCCUCUUUAAUGCCCACAUCCGCUUUAACUACACCCCAAUGAUCAAGUAUGAGUGCAUUGGUAAUAACCAGAUCCAUGGCGAUAUCGUUGGUAAGCUGGCUUUGUCCCAUGCCAUCACG